rfam:Enterobacter aerogenes KCTC 2190, complete genome.
GGUUAAGCGACUAAGCGUACACGGUGGAUGCCCUGGCAGUCAGAGGCGAUGAAGGACGUGCUAAUCUGCGAAAAGCGUCGGUAAGGUGAUAUGAACCGUUACAGCCGGCGAUGUCCGAAUGGGGAAACCCAGUGCAAUUCGUUGCACUAUCGUUAACUGAAUACAUAGGUUAACGAGGCGAACCGGGGGAACUGAAACAUCUAAGUACCCCGAGGAAAAGAAAUCAACCGAGAUUCCCCCAGUAGCGGCGAGCGAACGGGGAGCAGCCCAGAGUCUGAAUCAGCUUGUGUGUUAGUGGAACGGUCUGGAAAGUCCGACGGUACAGGGUGAUAGUCCCGUACACCAAAAUGCACAGGCUGUGAACUCGAAGAGUAGGGCGGGACACGUGGUAUCCUGUCUGAAUAUGGGGGGACCAUCCUCCAAGGCUAAAUACUCCUGACUGACCGAUAGUGAACCAGUACCGUGAGGGAAAGGCGAAAAGAACCCCGGCGAGGGGAGUGAAAAAGAACCUGAAACCGUGUACGUACAAGCAGUGGGAGCACCUUUAUGGUGUGACUGCGUACCUUUUGUAUAAUGGGUCAGCGACUUAUAUUCUGUAGCAAGGUUAACCGUAUAGGGGAGCCGCAGGGAAACCGAGUCUUAACUGGGCGUUAAGUUGCAGGGUAUAGACCCGAAACCCGGUGAUCUAGCCAUGGGCAGGUUGAAGGUUGGGUAACACUAACUGGAGGACCGAACCGACUAAUGUUGAAAAAUUAGCGGAUGACUUGUGGCUGGGGGUGAAAGGCCAAUCAAACCGGGAGAUAGCUGGUUCUCCCCGAAAGCUAUUUAGGUAGCGCCUCGUGAAUUCAUCUUCGGGGGUAGAGCACUGUUUCGGCUAGGGGGUCAUCCCGACUUACCAACCCGAUGCAAACUACGAAUACCGAAGAAUGUUAUCACGGGAGACACACGGCGGGUGCUAACGUCCGUCGUGAAGAGGGAAACAACCCAGACCGCCAGCUAAGGUCCCAAAGUCACAGUUAAGUGGGAAACGAUGUGGGAAGGCACAGACAGCCAGGAUGUUGGCUUAGAAGCAGCCAUCAUUUAAAGAAAGCGUAAUAGCUCACUGGUCGAGUCGGCCUGCGCGGAAGAUGUAACGGGGCUAAACUGUGCACCGAAGCUGCGGCAGCGACACUAUGUGUUGUUGGGUAGGGGAGCGUUCUGUAAGCCUGCGAAGGUGGCCUGUGAGGGUUGCUGGAGGUAUCAGAAGUGCGAAUGCUGACAUAAGUAACGAUAAUGCGGGUGAAAAGCCCGCACGCCGGAAGACCAAGGGUUCCUGUCCAACGUUAAUCGGGGCAGGGUGAGUCGACCCCUAAGGCGAGGCCGAAAGGCGUAGUCGAUGGGAAACAGGUUAAUAUUCCUGUACUUGGUGUUACUGCGAAGGGGGGACGGAGAAGGCUAUGUUAGCCGGGCGACGGUUGUCCCGGUUUAAGCAUGUAGGCGGAGGUUCCAGGUAAAUCCGGUACCUUUUAACGCUGAGGUGUGAUGACGAGGCACUACGGUGCUGAAGUAACAAAUGCCCUGCUUCCAGGAAAAGCCUCUAAGCAUCAGGUAACAUUGAAUCGUACCCCAAACCGACACAGGUGGUCAGGUAGAGAAUACCAAGGCGCUUGAGAGAACUCGGGUGAAGGAACUAGGCAAAAUGGUGCCGUAACUUCGGGAGAAGGCACGCUGAUAUGUAGGUGAAGCCCCUGCGGGUGGAGCUGAAAUCAGUCGAAGAUACCAGCUGGCUGCAACUGUUUAUUAAAAACACAGCACUGUGCAAACACGAAAGUGGACGUAUACGGUGUGACGCCUGCCCGGUGCCGGAAGGUUAAUUGAUGGGGUUAUCCGUAAGGAGAAGCUCUUGAUCGAAGCCCCGGUAAACGGCGGCCGUAACUAUAACGGUCCUAAGGUAGCGAAAUUCCUUGUCGGGUAAGUUCCGACCUGCACGAAUGGCGUAAUGAUGGCCAGGCUGUCUCCACCCGAGACUCAGUGAAAUUGAACUCGCUGUGAAGAUGCAGUGUACCCGCGGCAAGACGGAAAGACCCCGUGAACCUUUACUAUAGCUUGACACUGAACAUUGAGCCUUGAUGUGUAGGAUAGGUGGGAGGCUUUGAAGCGUGGACGCCAGUCUGCGUGGAGCCAACCUUGAAAUACCACCCUUUAAUGUUUGAUGUUCUAACGUUGGCCCCUAAUCGGGGUUGCGGACAGUGUCUGGUGGGUAGUUUGACUGGGGCGGUCUCCUCCCAAAGAGUAACGGAGGAGCACGAAGGUUAGCUAAUCCUGGUCGGACAUCAGGAGGUUAGUGCAAUGGCAUAAGCUAGCUUGACUGCGAGCGUGACGGCGCGAGCAGGUGCGAAAGCAGGUCAUAGUGAUCCGGUGGUUCUGAAUGGAAGGGCCAUCGCUCAACGGAUAAAAGGUACUCCGGGGAUAACAGGCUGAUACCGCCCAAGAGUUCAUAUCGACGGCGGUGUUUGGCACCUCGAUGUCGGCUCAUCACAUCCUGGGGCUGAAGUAGGUCCCAAGGGUAUGGCUGUUCGCCAUUUAAAGUGGUACGCGAGCUGGGUUUAGAACGUCGUGAGACAGUUCGGUCCCUAUCUGCCGUGGGCGCUGGAGAAUUGAGGGGGGCUGCUCCUAGUACGAGAGGACCGGAGUGGACGCAUCACUGGUGUUCGGGUUGUCAUGCCAAUGGCAUUGCCCGGUAGCUAAAUGCGGAAGAGAUAAGUGCUGAAAGCAUCUAAGCACGAAACUUGCCCCGAGAUGAGUUCUCCCUGAGACUUUAAGUCUCCUGAAGGAACGUUAAAGACGAUGACGUUGAUAGGUCGGGUGUGUAAGCGUAGCGAUACGUUGAGCUAACCGAUACUAAUGAACCGUGAGGCUUAACCUU